CUUCCCAGAAGUUCCCAGCAACUCUCAUUUAUGCGUAGCCACAAGGCAUGAUGGGAAAUGAGUAUGUGGCAUUUUGAGCCUCCAUCAUGGAAACAGGCUCCACCCAGAGGAAGCAGCGGGUAGAUCUGGCUAUUGGAUAUGUUGCACGGUCUAAUCGAUAGACCCAGAAAAGGAAGAUAGAUCUCGGUGUCAGCAUGGAGGGAACAUGCAUGGGGUGCUGGAUUCUAGAUCAGGUCCAAGUUCUUCCCUUCCUUCAAGCUCCGAAUCAACUUCUACCUUCCACAUGCAGCCUUCCUUGUCUUUCUUUGGCUGAAUCUCUGUAGCACUUAGAGUCUAUAUUCAAAAGCUUGAUUACUAACAUUACUGUUUUUUUCCCCUUCUAGUAGUGUUAGGUGUGCAAACCCUACUUCCUGAGGUAGCUUUUCUGUUUCUUGACUGUCAUAAGGACGUUUGUGUCUUUCCCUUAUUCCCUGUGGUGCCCAGAUUAGUUCUGAAGACACAGGAGGGACUGAAUACAUUUUUGGCAUUGGUUGAUUUAUUGAAAGUUCAGAAUGUCAGGGAAACAUGUUGAACCAAACACAAGCAAGUAGUUUUGCCACUCUAAGUAAAAUGCAGGUAUUCAGUGGGGACUUGGGAUUGAGGGUGGAAAGGUAGACUUUGAGAGAAGUCAGAAGGAAAAAAAAAGUAUUUGGCUAGAGCUACAACUGAUGGAUAAAGGCAGCCCUAUUUGGAAGAGAUGAUGGGUUCUUUAGAAACAAUGCUGGAGUCCUAGUUUUGGGUUUUGGGUUUUCACUACAUCACUACUGGUAUGUGCCCUGGAGAAACCAUGUAACCUCUCUGGGCCCCUGUUUCUUUGAUUAUAAAAUGAGAAGCUUAGAUGACAUCUAAUGCCCCACUGGUUCUAAAACUGUGUUUCUAAGGAGAGGAAUAAGCAAUUUUAGACAAUGCAGGGUGGACAAAUUCCUGGGAUUCCAGAAGUUCCUUUUCUGUCCCCCAAAGUGUAAAAGAAAUAGUGUGUGAUGAAGCACUUACCCUGCUCUAUCCUUGAUUUGCUAUGUGCCACCCAUUCAUUCACACAACAAACGUUGAUGAAGCCCUACAAUGUGGCAGGCACAGGGCUAGUUCUGGCGAUGGAAUGGUGGAUGAAACUGACACGUCCCUAUGCCUUGGGAUUUACAACCUAGUGGGAGAAAACAGACACAGAAAUGUAAAGCUACAGCUGUGAUGAGUGCUAGGAAGGACAUAUAGAUGAUGGGUGAAAGGAAUCUGACUCGGACUAGAGUCUGGGAGGGCUUCUGAGUGGAAAUUAUCUAGGAGACCAGCAGAUGGAGGAAGAGAGCACCCGAGAAGGUGCUUUGGUGAAAGGUAGAAUGGCAAGUUUGGAAAACAGAAAGAAGAGUGCAGUUGGAACUUAGAGGGUUAAAGAGGGUGAUUUAGAUAACGUGAGAGGGAUGGGGUCAGAUUACGGGGGACCUUGUCAAACAUGGUAAGAACACUGUUCUUUAUUGUAAGAGCAGUAAGAAGCCACGAGUCGGAGAGUGGGGUGAUCAGCGGGUGGUAAGUGGAUUUGAGAGAGGCUGGAGUGGGCACGACGAGUCAGAUCAAGGGAGGAAUCCAGGUGAGUGACAGCCACAGCUUGGUGACUGUGUUAUAAACACAUUUCCUCCCUACCUAGGGAGAAAAUGCUAGAAACAAAGUGAUAGAGCCCUUCAGGUUCUCAGUUUCCUCUUUGCAAAAGAAAGGCUGGACUCAACAUUAGGAAGCUUUCCGGCAAUUUCUGUGGUUUGGGGGAAUGGAAAUACUUUGGGGAAGAGUGUAUUGCUGUGUGACCACAUGACUGGUGUGUAGCAUGCACUCUCACAUGCUGCUUUUUGGGUGGGGCUUUUCCUGGAUGUGGGGUUCUCUCUGAACUCCUCAGAUGAGACAUACUUUAUACCAGUGCUUCAGACUUCAUUGCAGAACUUCUGACAACCGUAUUUUAUAAUUUUUACUUUGACUCAAAUUGUAACAUAGGAUGAGAGGUUAUUUAGUUUUCCUCUGACAAAACCUUCCUCUACUUUUUUUUU